AGUGUUUCAUUAAAAAAUUGACAGUGAUUGUCAAUUGCGCGCAAACAAUUAAACGGCAGUGAUUGCCAAGUGUUUCAUUAAAAAACAGGAAUGUUUCAUUAAAAAUUGACAGUGAUUGUCAAUUGCACGCGAACAAUAAAUCAAAGCGAGGUUGAGAACAACAAUUUGGAAAGCAAGUGAUUUGCUUUCAAGUUAUGAGCAAGAAACUCGGACCAUGAAGAUCGAAGCCCGGAACGGCCAGGAUAAAAUCCCGUACAGUGUUUAAAAAUGCACUGUUCGCAGCGUAGGGCGUAGCAACAAAUGACCAAGGAAUUAGCGGCAAUAAGAAGAUCCAAGGAAUCCGAUAUCCGGUCGGUAUCGGGCGAGAACUCAUCAGCAUCAGCAGCAGCAACAGUACCAUAUCAGCAGAAGCAGCACCGCCGAGGGCAACUAUGGCAUGAAGAAAUACGUAACCAGCAGCUGAAUCAAGUAAGUCGUUAGUAGGAAACUGACUAUGAAUAGAUAAACCCAUAGAGGUUGACUUAGGGGCCAAGAGAGCCAAGGAAAUUUAGGAAAACCCACAGGAGUUAAUUUUUAUGGCCAAGUGAGCCAAUCUAGAAACAUAGACAAAAAUUUGGUAGGAACAUUUACAAACAUGGAAAACGUAUAUAAGGCGAUUAACGCUAGGCUUUUUACUCGAAAUAUGAAGGGUAAUUGUCACUCGUGUUACGAGUCUGAUGAGGAUUACCCAAUGAUUUAUUGUUGCGAAUGCGAGCGAUGGUUCCACUUGAAUUGUACCGAUCUUAAAAAGGUUCCCCUUAUGGGCGAUCGGUGGAUCUGUCGCAAAUGCGCAAAUCUAGAAAAUAAGUAUUUAAAGAUUGCCGAAAUGAAUGUCUUCUUGGGGAUACCCAUUAUUAGCAUAUAUCCUAGUGGGUGGGGAAAUUAUUACAAGGAAGAUAUGCCGGCCAAACCGCAUCCAUUUAGGGCGAUUAUUGAAUUGUGCAGGCGAGUAAAUGACAAUUACGAAUCCGAGUCUCGAGACUCAGAAGAAUGUCAACAAAGAAAAAUGCCUCCUCCUUGGAAUCCUAGUUUAAUUGAUUGCAGGAGGAGAGGAAUGAUUCAGGCGACGAAAAUUCUAGAUCAUCAGAAGAAUCUAAACUGAUAACACCUCCUCCUUGGAACUCUAACUUGGUUAGGAGGAGGGAAUGCGAUAAAUCAUCUGACACAGAUGAUGAAAAUAAACUUGAUAUGAUACAAGUUGGAAUUAAUAAGCAGCUAGGAGAAGUCAGUCUCCAGAACUUUGAAGAUGAUUGCUCAUUCCGAGUGAGGGACGAGCCAUUUAAAACCCUGUCAGUUGCAAAAUAUGAAGCUGAAUUCAAGGGAAUCUUGUCUUCAAGAGACAAUAUGAUUGGCGACACCGUAUCAGAAUCGGUGGAACCCAUUAAAGGAAUCAUCGCCACAGAUGUAGAAUCUGUGGUAGAUGGAAAUAUUAAGAUCGCUGCGGAUAGAGAUACUGUGGCGGAAAAGAACAAUGAAACGAAGAAGUCAUGCGUGAUGCAUGAAGUAAGGCAAGGCGCAAAUUGAGACGCAUAUAGCGCGAGUAUAGCGCCUGUUUUUGUGGCUAAUGAAAACAGAUAGAACGGCGCAAAUUGGCCAGAUGACGCGAGAUGGUGGAGCGCUCGUGAGCGCUAUACGCUUCUCAAUUUGCGCCUAGCCUAAGGCGGCUCGCACACCGGAGCAAUAAACAACUAGCAAACUGCAAUACGCAAUAUGCAACAGGAAACAUAUUUUGUUGUUCUUCGCAUACCAGAGCAAUAAAAACCCCCGACAUUAUGCAAACAAUCGGCUUAAUGUACGAAACUUGUCAAAAUAUGGGCGAUAAGUUGCUCUUCAACCGACACGCCGUGUUGCUAGCGACAUGUGUUGCUCUGUAAAGGCGACAGCGAUAUCGUAUUGCGUCGGUAUGCGAGAUCAACAAAGAUUAAAUGGAAAAAUCCAUUGGCGAUAAUAUUGCUUAUUGCAUGUUGAUAGUUGCUAGUUGCUUAUUGCUCCGGUGUGCGAGGCGCCUAAGAGCAGAUGUGAUAUCUGCCAACCAAGAUAUAGCGGAAUCCAAAGAUGGAAACGCUGAAAAUUUGAAAAUAGGAAAUAUUUCCAUAUAUGUUGAAAGGACAGAGCUGGGAAUAUUAGCUUCUGGACUAAAAGAAAACUCUGUUGAUGAACAGAAAAUUAAAUCCGCUAUUGAGGAACGGUUUGAUGGAAUAGAACCAAAUAUAGCAGGAGAGGAAAAAGUCCUCAGAAAUGAUAGGGCAAUAUUAGCAAAAAUUAAAGUGUGGACAAAAGCUUGCUAUAAAGGUUUCAAGGAGAGCCUUAGCAAUGCAAAAUUGAUAUCGAAGGUUGGGAGCAAAAGUAAAAACGAUGUGAUCAUGAUGAAUGAUUCAUCACAUGAAGCCAACAUACAAAUGGAAUACUCACCAAACAUGGAAAUUGAUGUGGUGGAGCCUCUGAGGAAAGUGGCACCAGGAGUAAUUCCGAUAGACUUGUUUGUAAACAAACCAUUAGUUCCACCAAGGAAAACUUGUUCCAAUAAUGAAAAGCAUCUAACUUAUGAAUUCGAACCAAAAAGGAUUUGCAAAAACUAUGGCUCAGAUAUGGAAAUUAUUACCGCCGAUCAAAACUAUAAGAUCUCCAAUAUAGAGGCUGAAAAGUUUGCUGAAAGAAUAGGCCAAAAUAGGAAAAUUGAUUCGAUAGUAAAUUAUGCUAUCGAAAAUCCCGAUGAAUAUUGUACACCGAUUUACCAGUAUCAUCGACGUCGUAUCAAACGGCUUCGACAUUGUAACGAGUUAGUUACUCAAUUGAAUCAUUGUGAAAAUAUGAACCCUUUAAGAAUUUAUAAUCUAUUUUUCAACGUUGAAAAUAUAUUGAUAUUUCGGUGCAUUUACUGCACAUGUAGUAAAAAUUGAUAUCUCUUAGUAGUAUAGAAAACCAAUUCAAAUUAAAUAUAUUAGAAUUAUUAAUUGGACUAAUAAGCCAAACAUUUUAGGCAAGUGAUUUGCUUAAUGCUCAGUAUGUGAGUUGCUGAAAAAUUAUUAACGUAAUUUAGGAUUUAAAUGAUUCGUUUGAAAUCGGAUACGUCGGUACGAUAACAAACCGUUUUGAUAUUUUAAAUAUCUGUUAGAGGCCCAAAAACACUGUGUUGUCAAGCAGUUGAGAUGCACAAAAUAUGAUUCUGAAGGAUUAAAAGUACAGCAAGUAUUCUGCUGAAAAAAAUAUACAUUAACCUUUAAAAAAAAAAUGAUGGAGCAGCAUGUGAUAUGCUGAAGCAAGCUUUAUACGAAUGAUUUGCUCAAAGCUCAGCAAGUGAAUUGCUGAAGGAGUAAUAUCAACUGCGAAUUAGUUGAUGGAAGAAAAAUUUAAAACAGCAUAUGAAAUGCUGAAGGUUGAAAAAAAAAGCAAGUGAAUUGCUGAAGGGUUCAAAUUCAAUAGAAAUAUUUUCAAGCAAGUUAGUUGCUUAAAGCUCAGCAAAUGAAACAGCAACUGAAAAUCGGAUAACGAGAGAUGAAAUUACUGUACAGCAUGUGAAAUGCUCAAGGAAAAAAUUUAAACAAGUUGCUGAGAAAAUAUGAUUAACGCAUUCAAUUGAUUAUUGGCUAUCAAAGCAUAACUUCCAUUCUAACUUAAGAAAAAGGUUUGAGAUGAAACAAUGUAGGAAUGAGUAAUAUCAAAAAACAAAUAUUGUAAACUUCACACACAUGAAGUAAUACUGGAGGAUUAACACCAAGGAACCUUCCUGUGAAUCAAGGACCUAUAAUGGGGUAAAUCUAUGAGGUAGAUUUACGGGGUCUGGUGUUACGGACGGAAAAUAGACAUCACAAUCCGAUAGGGAAUCCCAAAUAAAAAAAGGGAAACAAGAGCAGGGGGAAUGCUAGGAUGCUUCGGCCGCUUGUGGACGAAACAAAGGAAAUAGAAAAAGGGAAAAAACGUUUUCCCCAAGAAGAUUGUUUACGUCUCCGGAUAGGGAUAGGGAAAGAAAAACAAUAACAUAAAUUUUAGGCCUGAUGAACAGACGACAAAUAUUUUCUUUUCUCUUUUUAGUUUUUUAGUACCUGUAGUUUAGGUAAAGGAGAAUUCUUUCUCCUUCUCUUGAGUAAGAAAAACGUGUAUAUAUAUAUUUUAGCAAAAUAGAAAUAAAGGUAGUCUAAGAACAGAACUCACGCGAAAGCGUAAAAUUUUUCUUUACCAUAGAGAAAUUUUCAGCAGUGUUAAAUAUUCAGUUAGAGACGAAUGAACUCCCAGAGUUUAAAGUCUCUUAAAUCCAACACCAAUUCCAAUUCCUAUUCAGUUCGUGAGGAAAAAAACUAUAAACUAUAUAUACCUGUGGCCAAGAGUAGUUGAACAAUGGUAAUGGAGCUAGCAAAGAAAAGGAAGGCUACGAUGCUCGACAAAUCGGGGAUGCUGGUCGUCAUUGAAGUGUGGAAGGACAAUAUUCUGUCCCUUCGGAGCACUUCCAAGACCUCCCACAUCUACAAGCAAAUGUGUGAGGAGCUGAAAGGCCACGGCGUUAUACUUACGGUGGUCGAAUUGAAAAACCGGAUCAAUAAUCUCUCUCGGAAGUACAGCACUCGCGAUUUGAUGGAUGAGGUGAUUGGUUCCGAUGAUGACUACUGCGAUGCUGAGUAUUUAGAUGAAGCGUACAACCCGGAGAACGACACAUUCGCUCAAUCUAUGUUUAUGUCACCUUCUGCGCCGACAUCAUCAGUAUCAUCGCCAUCACCAACACUGCCAUCAUCAAGCCGCAGGCAUUCCGCUCCUAAAAAGAGAAAACAAAAUGUGCAGGAAAAAUUAUUGGAAUUGGCUAUAAAAUAAAACGAAAAUAUGGUUACUUUUAUGGAGCAUUCCAAGA